rnacentral:rRNA from 1 species
GACGAACGCUGGCGGCAUGCCUUACACAUGCAAGUCGAACGGACCUAGCAAUAGGUUAGUGGCGAACGGGUGAGUAAUACAUGAGCAACCUGCCUCAAACAGGGGGAGUAACACCGGGAACGUAGUGGCUAAUACCGCAUAAGACCACAGCGCGGCGAUCGCGCAGGGUAAAACGGAAUUCAGUGGUUUGAGAUGGACUCAUGUCCCAUUAGCUAGUUGGUGAGAUAACACGCCCACCAAGGCGACGAUGGGUAGCCGACCUGAGAGGGUGAUCGGCCACAUUGGGACUGAGACACGGCCCAGACUCCUACGGGAGGCAGCGAGUAGGGG